CCUACGGGUGGCAGCAGUGAGGAAUAUUGGUCAAUGGCCGAGAGUCUGAACCAGCCAAGUAGCGUGAAGGAUGACUGCCCUAUGGGUUGUAAACCUCUUUUAUCUGGGAGUAAAAUGUUCCACGUGUGGCAUUUUGUGUGUACCAUAUGAAUAAGGAUCGGCUAACUCCGUGCCAGCAGCCGCGGUAAUACGGAGGCUCCGAGCGUUAUCGGGAUUUAUUGGGUUUAAAGGGUGCGAAGGAGGAUUGUAAAGUCAGUGGUAAAAUUUGGGGGCUCAACCCAAGAGUGCAGUUGAAACUGGCGGUCGUGAGUGCAGUAGAGGUGGGCGGAAUUCGUGGUGUAGCGGUGAAAUGCUUAGAGAUCACGAAGAACUCCGAUUGCGAAGGCAGUACACUGGACUGCAACUGACGCUGAGGCUCGAAAGUGUGGGUAUCAAACAGGAUUAGAUACCCGAGUAGUC
rnacentral:rRNA from 1 species